rnacentral:rRNA from 1 species
GUUUGAUCAUGGCUCAGAUUGAACGCUGGCGGCAGGCCUAACACAUGCAAGUCGAACGGUAACAGGAAGAAGCUUGCUUCUUUGCUGACGAGUGGCGGACGGGUGAGUAAUGUCUGGGAAACUGCCUGAUGGAGGGGGAUAACUACUGGAAACGGUAGCUAAUACCGCAUAACGUCGCAAGACCAAAGAGGGGGACCUUCGGGCCUCUUGCCAUCGGAUGUGCCCAGAUGGGAUUAGCUAGUAGGUGGGGUAACGGCUCACCUAGGCGACGAUCCCUAGCUGGUCUGAGAGGAUGACCAGCCACACUGGAACUGAGACACGGUCCAGACUCCUACGGGAGGCAGCAGUGGGGAAUAUUGCACAAUGGGCGCAAGCCUGAUGCAGCCAUGCCGCGUGUAUGAAGAAGGCCUUCGGGUUGUAAAGUACUUUCAGCGGGGAGGAAGGGAGUAAAGUUAAUACCUUUGCUCAUUGACGUUACCCGCAGAAGAAGCACCGGCUAACUCCGUGCCAGCAGCCGCGGUAAUACGGAGGGUGCAAGCGUUAAUCGGAAUUACUGGGCGUAAAGCGCACGCAGGCGGUUUGUUAAGUCAGAUGUGAAAUCCCCGGGCUCAACCUGGGAACUGCAUCUGAUACUGGCAAGCUUGAGUCUCGUAGAGGGGGGUAGAAUUCCAGGUGUAGCGGUGAAAUGCGUAGAGAUCUGGAGGAAUACCGGUGGCGAAGGCGGCCCCCUGGACGAAGACUGACGCUCAGGUGCGAAAGCGUGGGGAGCAAACAGGAUUAGAUACCCUGGUAGUCCACGCCGUAAACGAUGUCGACUUGGAGGUUGUGCCCUUGAGGCGUGGCUUCCGGAGCUAACGCGUUAAGUCGACCGCCUGGGGAGUACGGCCGCAAGGUUAAAACUCAAAUGAAUUGACGGGGGCCCGCACAAGCGGUGGAGCAUGUGGUUUAAUUCGAUGCAACGCGAAGAACCUUACCUGGUCUUGACAUCCACGGAAGUUUUCAGAGAUGAGAAUGUGCCUUCGGGAACCGUGAGACAGGUGCUGCAUGGCUGUCGUCAGCUCGUGUUGUGAAAUGUUGGGUUAAGUCCCGCAACGAGCGCAACCCUUAUCCUUUGUUGCCAGCGGUCCGGCCGGGAACUCAAAGGAGACUGCCAGUGAUAAACUGGAGGAAGGUGGGGAUGACGUCAAGCCAUCAUGGCCCUUACGACCAGGGCUACACACGUGCUACAAUGGCGCAUACAAAGAGAAGCGACCUCGCGAGAGCAAGCGGACCUCAUAAAGUGCGUCGUAGUCCGGAUUGGAGUCUGCAACUCGACUCCAUGAAGUCGGAAUCGCUAGUAAUCGUGGAUCAGAAUGCCACGGUGAAUACGUUCCCGGGCCUUGUACACACCGCCCGUCACACCAUGGGAGUGGGUUGCAAAAGAAGUAGGUAGCUUAACCUUCGGGAGGGCGCUUACCACUUUGUGAUUCAUGACUGGGGUGAAGUCGUAACAAGGUAACCGUAGGGGAACCUGCGGUUG